rnacentral:rRNA from 1 species
CAAUAGCGUAUACUAAUGUUGUUGCAGUUAAAAAGCUCGUAGUUGAACUUCUGGUAGGAGUGUCCCGGCCUUUUUGUUUUUACAAAUUGUAUGCUGUGUGACAUCUCUGGCCAUCCUUCUUCUUUGUUUAAAUAAGAUCUUUCACUGUAAAAAAAUUAGGGUGUUCAAAGCAAAAGUUUCUUUGGAAUAUAUUAGUAUGGGAUGAUAAGAUAGGCUCUAGAUGCUAUUUUGUUGGUUUGCACAUUUAGAGAAUGAUUAACAGGGACAGUUGGGGGUAUUCGUAUUUACAUGUCAGAGGUGAAAUUCUUGGAUUUUGGAAAGACGAACUACUGCGAAAGCAUUUACCAAGGAUGUUUUCAUUAA